ensembl:lncRNA C2orf27A chromosome 2 open reading frame 27A
CUACGGAGCUGAGACUGCAGUUCCUGCGACGCCCCUGCAGCAGCAGCAGCGUGGUCAGAGCGAGCUUCUGAGCGGUGGUUCAUCUGCGUUGCUCUAAAUGGGACUGUUUCAUUAUUUUGAUGGCUGAAGAAUAUUUCCUAGUGUAUGUAUAUGAGAGUUUCUUGAUCUCUUUAUCUGUGGAUGAACAGCUACUUUGAAAUAUAUGAUACAUUUGUGUUAAGGCUAGUCACGCUGCUGUGGAAUAGAAGGCCAGAAUUGAUCACUAUCAUCUGAGAGUAACUUUGUACCCAUCACUGAUUCCUUCCGAGACUGCCUCCACUUCCCCAGCAGCCUCUGAUUUCUUCAUGUGGCUGCAGAUGGCAGGAUUUCCCAAAGGUUUAUGGCUGCAACAUAUUCCGUGGUGUAUCUGUACAGCAGUUUCCUCAUUCCUGCAGCUGUGUUUGAACAGGUCAUUUACCAUGCGGUCCUCCAGGUUCAACAGUAUGGCUCCAAAUGAUGAAAUUUCAUUCUGAUUUUCUGGCUGAAGACUAUUCUGUUUGUGUAUGUCCACCACAGUUACUUUAUCCCUUCAUCUGUGGAUGGGCAGGAAACUCCAAACUGUCCAAGGGAUAGUUCUGUUGUGAUUACUUCAUUGAGAAAUUUAACUUAUGAGCAGUUGAAAGGAAUGCAAGUUGCUGGAAAAUCAGAAUGAAGAGUGCAAAAUGACCAAGCUACAAUGUAUUGUCAUUAUUCACUCUGAUGUGAAAAAGGCAGUGAAUUCAAUAGAAAAUAACUUUGCAGAAUAAAAUCUCAGGUGUGUUUUUUUAGUGCCACAGUCUUGGAUGAUGGGCUUCUAGAUGUUGAGUCCUAGAAGCUCUCAACAUCUCUUCUUAAUUGGAGAAAGUGUUAAGCCCCAAAGUAGCUGGAGCAGUACAUCUUCAAUUUUUGACAAGAAAGCAGGAACUUGGUUACUUUGAGUGUUAUUCAUUAGUUUCUGCUUUCAUUGAGAAUGCAGCAAAAGCCAACGAGGCUGCUGCUAACUCCUUGCUGGACAUCUUCUGCCACUAUCACAGGAACUGUGAUCUCACUGGACAAUUAACUAGGGAGCCUUUCAUCUUGAAUGACUGCUGCACAAAUGAUCUUCAAAGCAUUUUAGCCACCAGAGGAAUUCUCUUCAAAUACCCAAAAUCCAUCAGUAUCUUGAAUCAUGCUGGAUUUUGAAGAAUUCUUAACAAGCCAUGUAAAGGGGGCUCUCUGGCCUUGAAAUAGUGAUGUUUUUUAUACAGAAAGGAGAAUGCCGAAUGUUCAGACUACCAUGCACUGUUAAAUUUGAUUUCAAGAAAUUACAGGAAAACUUUCCAAAGUUCCGUCUCACAGAAUUUAUUUUUACAAAGAAUUCCAAGAUAAGUUUAGUUUUAUGGAAGAUUUUUAUGUGGUUUUUACUCACUCUUCAUCUCAGACAUCAACCGAUGAUUACAUCACUUAUUUAGCUAGUAAAUUUAUUAAUAUAAAACUCAGAGACAUUCCAAUAUCCACAUUGCUUACAUCAUCAGGCAUAGAUUCAAUGUCAGCUAUGACAAUUGAAAAUAAGCUGUUUUGUGAUUUAAAGGUUUAAAUUUCUCUAACCAAACAGCUUGAUCCAGAUGCAGCACUGCAAAUGUUAAUAUUUGUUCUGGAAGAGCAAUCAAAUAAGACUUAAGAGGAAAAGGAAUGGCCACAAUCCACCUGAAAUUUUUUUUAAAAAAGUAUGCAGCCUACUAAAUCAGAAUGAAAAUAGAAGUACAAGAUUAUAAACAAAAUGCAAUCAAACUUUUCUUAAGCUUACCUAAAGUUAUUUUAUCUGAAAAUUUCAAGCAACUUUGAUCAACAUUAAAUUGACAAUCUAAACUAACAAGUCUUUUGAAUUUAUGUAUGGUAGUAAACAUUCUCUCUAUUAAUUUUAUUACCUAAGGCUAAACCUAAAAUUUUUAAGCAAAAUUAGAAAGUCUUCACUUAUCAAAAAAUAAAGUUUGUUACAUUUAGUAUUUUCCCAAUAAAAUUGGUCAUUCUUGGUUUUUUAUUUGGAGAAUCUGUGCAAAAUUUCACUGAAAAUAAAUUAGAACUAGAAAUUAUUUCUAAAUACCAAAAAAAAAAUGAAGAA